rnacentral:rRNA from 1 species
GACGAACGCUGGCGGCGUGCCUAAUACAUGCAAGUAGAACGCUGAAGGCAGGAGCUUGCUCUUUCUGGCUGAGUUGCGAACGGGUGAGUAACGCGUAGGUAACCUGCCUGGUAGCGGGGGAUAACUAUUGGAAACGAUAGCUAAUACCGCAUAAAAUUGAUUAUUGCAUGAUUGUCAAUUAAAAGGUGCAACUGCACCACUACCAGAUGGACCUGCGUUGUAUUAGCUAGUUGGUGGGGUAACGGCUCACCAAGGCGACGAUACAUAGCCGACCUGAGAGGGUGAGCGGCCACACUGGGACUGGGACACGGCCCAGACUCCGACGGGAGGCAGCAGUAGGGGAUCGUCGGCAAUGGACGGAAGUCUGAGCGAGCAACGGCGCGUGAGUGAAGAAGGUGUUCGGAUCGUAAAGCUCUGUUGUAAGAGAAGAACGAGUGUGAGAGUGGAAAGUUCACAUGGUGACGGUAUCAUACCAGAAAGGGACGGCUAACUACGUG